GCUGGGCAUGGUGGCGCAUGCCUGUAAUCCCAGCUACUUGGGAGGCUGAGGCAGGAGAAUUGCUUGAGCCUGGGAGUUGGAUUUUGCAGUGAGCCGAGAUGGAGCCACUGCACUCCAACCUGGGUGACAGAGUAAGACUCUGUCUCAA
rfam:Pan troglodytes isolate Yerkes chimp pedigree #C0471 (Clint) chromosome 3, whole genome shotgun sequence.